CGGAACGUGCCCAGUAGCGGGGGAUAACUACGCGAAAGCGUAGCUAAUACCGCAUACGCCCUACGGGGGAAAGGGGGGGAUCGCAAGACCUCUCACUAUUGGAGCGGCCGAUGUCGGAUUAGCUAGUUGGUGGGGUAAAGGCUCACCAAGGCGACGAUCCGUAGCUGGUUUGAGAGGACGACCAGCCACACUGGGACUGAGACACGGCCCAGACUCCUACGGGAGGCAGCAGUGGGGAAUUUUGGACAAUGGGGGAAACCCUGAUCCAGCCAUUCCGCGUGUGCGAUGAAGGCCUUCGGGUUGUAAAGCACUUUUGGCAGGAAAGAAAUCGGUCGGGAUAAUACCCUGAUCGGAUGACGGUACCUGCAGAAUAAGCACCGGCUAACUACGUGCCAGCAGCCGCGGUAAUACGUAGGGUGCAAGCGUUAAUCGGAAUUACUGGGCGUAAAGCGUGCGCAGGCGGUUCGGAAAGAAAGAUGUGAAAUCCCAGGGCUCAACCUUGGAACUGCAUUUUUAACUACCGGGCUAGAGUGUGUCAGAGGGAGGUGGAAUUCCGCGU
rnacentral:rRNA from 1 species